GUGAUGUGAGGAGAGAAGAAAAUGGCGGGACAUACUCGAAAGCGAAGUCAGUUAUUCUGCACGAGAAGAACAGACCAGGCUAAGAUGGACUUCGGUGGGUUUGUCGUCCAGCGGUGGCAAAUCAUCUACUGUCCUACUCAUAUGGUGUAA
rnacentral:lncRNA from 1 species